CAGCCGCCGCGGUAAUACGUAGGUGGCAAGCGUUGUCCGGAAUUAUUGGGCGUAAAGGGCUCGCAGGCGGUUUCUUAAGUCUGAUGUGAAAGCCCCCGGCUCAACCGGGGAGGGUCAUUGGAAACUGGGAAACUUGAGUGCAGAAGAGGAGAGUGGAAUUCCACGUGUAGCGGUGAAAUGCGUAGAGAUGUGGAGGAACACCAGUGGCGAAGGCGACUCUCUGGUCUGUAACUGACGCUGAGGAGCGAAAGCGUGGGGAGCAAACAGGAUUAGAUACCCGCGUAGUCCCUGUCUCUUAUAC
rnacentral:rRNA from 1 species